CACGUAGGGGGCAAGCGUUGUCCGGAUUUAUUGGGCGUAAAGAGCUCGUAGGUGGUUCGGUAAGUCGGGUGUGAAACCUCCAGGCUCAACCUGGAGACGCCACCCGAUACUGCUGUGACUGGAGUCCGGUAGGGGAGACUGGAAUUCCUGGUGUAGCGGUGAAAUGCGCAGAUAUCAGGAGGAACACCGGUGGCGAAGGCGGGUCUCUGGGCCGAUACUGACGCUGAGGAGCGAAAGCGUGGGGAGCGAACAGG
rnacentral:rRNA from 1 species